AAUCAGAGUGAUAUAGUGACACAGACACUGAGAGCCCGCUGCCUUUAACGGGAACAUGUACUUCAUCAACGGUGUAUUGUUGCUGCCACUAAAUAAAAACCCUGAACAAACUGUUGGGGACAAACACAGCAGUGCUGAUAAAUGGAAACUUUGCGCUGGUUAACUUUGAUACUUGAAACGAACCGUUGAUCCGUUUAUUAACGGCUUUUAACUGGUGGCGCAAAGCAUGCUGGGAGUGGAGGGCUGAACGACCGUUAAUUUCCGUUUGUUGUUAAAUUGCUACAAAAUCUACAUUUCUAAAUCCCUCACACUGUCGCUCAUCCUGGGGCCGUUUCAGAAAGCAGCUGUAGUGAAAACUCUGAGUUAGUUAACCCUGAGAUGAGGGAAACUCUGGUGUUUCGGUUUCACGAAGCCAGUUCAGUUUAACUCCGAGUCAGUUACCCUGGCAACAUACUCCGUGAACCGAACCUGCUCGCUGGCAGGUUUUCUUCUUCUCACCCAGAGUGUCUCCUGCUCUUCAGUUGAAGCCUGCAGACUGAAGGUCGAGGCGCAGAUACUCCGCAGAAAUGUCCGUCGGGAGAGGAUUAUUAGAGCCCGACUGGAUGUUUUAUUAUUCCCUGAUGAGAACCAGUUUGAGCCUUUCCGUUUCUCUUUGUAUAACAUCGCUGAUGCAGACCUUGUGUCCAAGGCAACUGUCUGUCGGGCUGUCCGAAAUGUGACACUUUGAAACGGCUGCUAUACACAUUUGUUGUGUUCCCAAGUCACAGACCCACCGGACUGCAGGUAUCAGUCUAAGCAAUAAUUAAUGCAUGUUAUUAAUCUUUGAGACUUGAAGCACUAAUCAGUGAAUUUAAUAUAUUUGAGGGUUUCCAGGUGUGAUUGGCUGCAUAGCUGGCACUCACAUUCCUCUCAUAGCUCCUUCAAUAAAUAAAGGAGAUUUCUGUCCACAGCAUUAAUGUACAGGUAGGCCUUAAUAGUAGCCUUUAAUAUUCCAAAUGAAAUAUACUUCACUAUACAGCUAAUUGCUGUUCUCCACUGUGAAGAUCAUAUGUGAUGCAGAUAACAUGAUAAACAAUGUGGAAGCGAAGUGGCCUGGGUCUGUGCAUGACUCACGAAAUGUUUCCAGAUAUGCCCGUGGAGAGUUCGAUGGUUACCUACUCGGAGACAGAGGGUACCCCCGCCAGCUCUAUCUGCUGACCCCUGACCCUGACCCUGACCCUGACCCUGAGCCUGGCCCACAGCAACACUACAACGUGGCUCACUGCAGGACACGAGCCAGAGUGGAGAUGACCAUCGGGAUGCUCAACGCCCGGUUCCAGUGCCUUCGUAGGCUCAGGGUCACUCCAGAAAGGGCUUGUGACAUUAUAGUGGCAUGUGUGUUUCUCCACAACAUUGCCACUAUUAGAGGAGAACAAUGUCCUACUCUUUCCCCCAAUGAUCCAGAUAAUAAUCCUGACCCCCCCGGCUGAUGCACGAGAUGGAAGAGCUGUUAGAGGCGUGAUAUGCUUCAAUCAUUUCUAACUGACCCAUCACUUCCCCAGUGUCAAAGAACGACAAUAUGCCUCUCAUUUUAUGAGCUCUUCUUUAUUUCCUAUAAAGGACAAAUGUUGUACAGUUGUUAAUCCUUUGUUGUUGAAACAAUUAAAAGUCGCCCACCUUUAA